AUGACUUGCUCGCCUACCAGGCGAGUGGGACCACCUCUGAGCCCAGACGACCCAGGUAUCCCUAUUCAUCCUCUAGCAGUAGCUCUGAGGCUGCCUCCUCUUCCAGCUCUGCCGCCGCCCAUGUGGAGUCAGGGCUCUCCUCCAACUCCUCUGUAUGGCCGCUUCUUAGUCAACAGCAAUGCCCACCACAGCCCCUUCCCGCCUCCUGCCAGGAGCCAGGCCAGUGCCCACCUGCCAGUCCCAACACACCAGGCAGCAGCAGCAUCACGGGACCUCUGGGGCCCCUCCCGGAGCGUUUCUCCACCCUUUGGAGAGCAGUGGCUCUCACCACGCGCACCCCUAUGCCAUGUCACCCUCCUUGGUGUCUCUGAGGCCCUACCCUCCCAGGCCAGCACACCUGCCACGGCCGCAUGGCCAGGUGUCCUACAGCCAGGCUGGCCCCGGCGGCCCUUUGGCCUCGUCCUCUUCCGACUCCCCCUCCUCCUCUCAAGGGUCCUACCCCUGCUCGCAACCCUCCCCCUCCCAGUGUACCCAAGGGGCGCCCUACCCCUUCCCACCAGUGCCCACGGUCACCACCUCCUCGGCCACCUUCUCCAGGGUCAUCGCCACCAUGGCUUCCUCGUCAGCAGGGUACAAGAUGGCCUCGCCGCCUGGGACCCCGCCAUACACGAAGCGAGCCACGUCCCCGGAGGCCUACAAGACGGCCACCCCGCCUGUGUACAAGCCGGGCUUUCUCCCGGCCUUCCGAACGGGGACACCGCCGGGCUACCGAGGCGCCUCGCUGCCCGCGGGCCCAGGGACCUUCAAGCCGGGCUCGCCCGCCGCGGGCGCGGGGCCACUGCCACCAGCGGGGCGCCCAGGGCCUGCCAUCUCUGCCGCUGUCGCCGCCCGCCGACCCCGAGGGCCCGGCCCUGGGCGCCGCGCAGAUCAAGCAGGAGCAGGCCGAGGAGUACGAGGCACCCGAGAUCCCGGCGCCCCCGGCGCCCCAGCACGCAGCCCCUCGCCCCGGCCCUAGGUGGUGGACGUGCCCAGCCACGCCAGCCAGUCGGCCAGGUUGAACAAGCCCCUAGACCGCGGCUUCAACUCCUGCGCGCGCAGCGACUUAUACUUCUUGCCGCUGGAGGGCUCCAAGCUGGCCAAGAAGCUCGCCGACCUGCUGGAGAAGGUGCAGUGCGAGGCCGAGCGGUGCGCGCGCGAGGAGAAGGAGCGCGAGCGGGAGCGGGAGAAGGAGCGCGAGCUGGAGCGCAGCGAGAAGCCGGCUCAGGAGGGCCGCGCUCCCGUGCAGUGUCCGUCCCUGGGCCCCGUGCCCCACCGCCCUCCGUUCGUGCCGGGCAGUGCGGUGGCUACGGUUCACCUCUACCUGGGGCCUGACACCCCGGCCUUGCUCACCCUCAGCGAGUACGCCCGGCCUCAAGUCAUGUCUCCCGGUAACCGCAACCACCCCGUCUACGCGCCCCUGGGCGCGGUGGACCCGGGGCUCCUGGACGACAACGUCCCGGCCCUGUACAGCAGCGACCUGGCUGCCCGGGAGCGAGACCGCCGCAACCGCCUCAAGCCGAGCUUCGAGGUGAAGCCUAGCGAGCUGGAGCCCCUGCACGGGGUCCCGGGCCGGGCCUGGAUCCCUUCCCGCGACACGGGUGCCUGGCCCGCCUGGCCUGCACCCUUUCCCCUUCGCCUGGAGCGAGAACGGCUACCUCUGGCGUCCGGGCCCGCCCUGCGUCCGGACGUGUCCUACGCGGAGCGGCUGGCGGCCCAGAGGCAGCACGCGGAAAGGGUGGCAGCCCUGGGCCACGACCCGCCGGCGCGGCUGCAGAUGCUCAACGUGAAUCCCCGCCGCCACCCGCACUCGCACAUCCACUCGCACCUGCACCUGCACCAGCAGGACGCCGUCCAUGCAGCCUCUGCCUCGGUGCACCCUCUCAUUGGACCCCUGGCCUCAGGGUCUCACCUUACUCGGAUCCCCUGCCCAGCUGGGACCCUCCCUAACCCCCUUCUUCCUCACCCUCUGCGCGAGAACGAAGCUCUUCGUCACCAGCUCUUUGCCGCCCCCUACCGGGACCUGCCGGCCUCGCUCUCCGCCCCGACGUCCGCGGCGCACCAGCUGCAGGCCACGCACGCGCCGUCCGCCAAGCUGCAGCGCCUGUCGCUGGAGUAGCCGCAGUGACCGCACGCCCACCGCCCGCUGCACAGCGUGCUGCUGCCUGCCCAGGAGGACUACUACGGUCACCUGAAGAAGGAGAGCGACAAGCCGCUGUAG